ACGAACGCUGGCGGCGUGCUUCACACAUGCAAGUCGAACGGAAAGGCCCCUUUGGGGGUACUCGAGUGGCGAACGGGUGAGUAACACGUGAGUAACCUGCCCUUGACUUCGGGAUAACUUCAGGAAACUGGGGCUAAUACCGGAUAGGAAUCCUUGCUGCAUGGUGGGGGUUGGAAAGCUUCGGCGGUUUUGGAUGGACUCGCGGCUUAUCAGCUUGUUGGUGGGGUAGUGGCUUACCAAGGCUUUGACGGGUAGCCGGCCUGAGAGGGCGACCGGCCACAUUGGGACUGAGAUACGGCCCAGACUCCUACGGGAGGCAGCAGUGGGGAAUAUUGCACAAUGGGCGGAAGCCUGAUGCAGCAACGCCGCGUGCGGGAUGACGGCCUUCGGGUUGGAAACCGCUUUCAGCAGGGGCGAAGCUUGUGGUGACGGUACCUGCAGAAGAAGCACCGGCUAACUACGUG
rnacentral:rRNA from 1 species